rnacentral:rRNA from 1 species
UACGAAGGGUGCAAGCGUUAAUCGGAAUUACUGGGCGUAAAGGGUGCGUAGGCGGUUGUUUAAGUCUGUCGUGAAAUCCCCGGGCUCAACCUGGGAAUGGCGAUGGAUACUGGCGAGCUAGAGUGCGGUAGAGGAAGGUGGAAUUCCCGGUGUAGCGGUGAAAUGCGUAGAGAUCGGGAGGAACACCAGUGGCGAAGGCGGCCUUCUGGACCAGCACUGACACUCAAGCACGAAAGCGUGGGGAGCAAACAGG